rnacentral:rRNA from 1 species
UACGGGGGGGGUAAGCGUUGUUCGGAAUUACUGGGCGUAAAGGGCUCGUAGGCGGCCUACUAAGUCAUACGUGAAAUCCCUCAGCUUAACUGGGGAACUGCGUGUGAUACUGGAUGGCUUGGAUUUGGGAGAGGGAUGCGGAAUUCCAGGUGUAGCGGUGAAAUGCGUAGAUAUCUGGAGGAACACCGGUGGCGAAGGCGGCAUCCUGGACCAAUAUUGACGCUGAGGAGCGAAAGCGUGGGGAGCAAACAGG